UUUAUUUUAUCAUCAAAGAUGACUAAAAACAUGGUUCUUACAAUUUUCAUGGUGUUAUUUGUUAUUGGAAUGGUGAUGGAAAAGACGAAAGGACGUAUAUGUCAUGCCUACCUUAGAGGAGCAACUCCUGGUUGUGAUACUUCAGACUGUAACCUAGAUUGUCGUGACAGGUGGAAAGGAACAGGAACUUGUGUACCAGCAGGCUUCUCACGAGAAGAUCAGACCUGCUACUGCAGUUUUAAUUGUUAAAAUCGAUUUUUCCUUUAUUAUCUAUAAACAAUCACCAAAUAUAAUUUAAUAAAAUAAUGGAUUGAAGAAAAAAAAUGAAUAUUGUGAUCUUUUCUAA